CCUACGGGUGGCAGCAGUGAGGAAUAUUGGUCAAUGGACGAGAGUCUGAACCAGCCAAGUAGCGUGAAGGAUGACUGCCCUAUGGGUUGUAAACUUCUUUUAUAUGGGAAUAAAAUGUUCCACGUGUGGGCUUUUGUAUGUACCAUAUGAAUAAGGAUCGGCUAACUCCGUCCCAGCACCCGCGGUAAUCCGGAGGAUCCGAGCUUUAUCCGGAUUUAUUGGGUUUAAAGGGAGCGUAGGUGGAUUUUUAAGUCAGUUGUGAAAGUCUGCGGCGCAACCGUAAAAUUGCAGUUGAAACUGGCAGUCUUGAGUGCAGUAGAGGUAGGCGGAAGGCGUGGUGUAGCGGUGAAAUGCUUAGAUAUCACGAAGAACUCCGAUUGCGAAGGCAGCUCACUGGACUGCAACUGACACUGAGGCUCGAAAGUGUGGGUAUCAAACAGGAUUAGAUACCCCGGUAGUC
rnacentral:rRNA from 1 species